CCUACGGGGUGCAGCAGUAGGGAAUCUUCGGCAAUGGACGAAAGUCUGACCGAGCAACGCCGCGUGAGUGAAGAAGGUUUUCGGAUCGUAAAACUCUGUUGUUAGAGAAGAACAAGGACGUUAGUAACUGAACGUCCCCUGACGGUAUCUAACCAGAAAGCCACGGCUAACUAUGUGCCAGCAGCCGCGGUAAUACGUAGGUGGCAAGCGUUGUCCGGAUUUAUUGGGCGUAAAGCGAGCGCAGGCGGUUUCUUAAGUCUGAUGUGAAAGCCCCGGGCUCAACCGGGGAGGGUCAUUGGAAACUGGGAGACUUGAGUACGGAAGAGGAGAGUGGAAUUCCAUGUGUAGCGGUGAAAUGCGUGGAUAUAUGGAGGAACACCAGUGGCGAAGGCGGCUCUCUGGUCUGUAACUGACGCUGAGGCUCGAAAGCGUGGGGAGCAAACAGGAUUAGAUACCCUUUGUAGUC
rnacentral:rRNA from 1 species